GCACACAUGGUGGAAUUGGUAGACACGCCAUCUUGAGGGGGUGGUAACCGUAUGGUUGUGGGGGUUCAAGUCCCCCUGUGUGCA
rnacentral:tRNA from 1 species